rnacentral:lncRNA from 12 species
GGGAAUUCGGAGGAGUGAGUUUUGCUGAUGAAGUUUUGAUUUGACUGGGUUAUUUAAAGAAGGAGAUUCCUUAGAGGCCUUGUCUACAUUAAGCAAUUAAAUUAUUGUUUUUAUCCAGUAGUACAGCACCUGUAUAACUACCAGAAGUUCUGGUUUUACAGGUGAAGGUCAGUUAUACUUUUGCCCUACAUAUGUAACUGUGCCAUAUUCAGGCUUUCCAGUUCCAAGGACAGAAGGGAUUUUAUUUUUUGGGUCCCAGACUUUGGGAGGUGUUGAAAGCCUGUCUGAGAGCCCUUGGAGAAUUCAGCGGGAGUGGAGGGGACACAAAAAACCUGAAGUUUUCAUAAUGCCAUCACGCUAAAGCUAUAUUGUAUUCCUUUUAGAUGUAAAGUGUAGAGAAAAGGAAAAAUCAAAUAUAACUCUUCUUACAUAAAAGAAGGAGGGGAAAUAGGCUGAUUUUUUUUUCCAAAUCCAGAGUGUGAUACCAGAUAGCAUUGGAUGUUCUGCAAUUCCUGCCAGAAACCAUGUAAAAUCUGUGAUAUGAUAGGUCGCUACCCGAGGCAGAUAUCUGCAUGCUCUGUCACAGAUGACAUUUGCAGAAUGUUGUGCUGGCCACUGCAAUGAGAAGUAAAACAGCUGCUGUAAAGCCUGCAGAGUGGCAUGAUUCCUUUGAACAGUUGUAAAAAAAUUAGAGACAUUUAUG